ACGAACUGCGCGAACGUUAUUCGGAAUCACUGGGCUUAAAGAGUUCGUAGGCGGCCUGGUAAGUCGGGUGUGAAAUCCCUCAGCUCAACUGAGGAAUUGCGCCCGAUACUGGUAGGCUUGAGGGGGAUAGAGGUGAGCGGAACUGAUGGUGGAGCGGUGAAAUGCGUUGAUAUCAUCAGGAACACCGGUGGCGAAAGCGGCUCACUGGAUCUCUUCUGACGCUGAGGAACGAAAGCUAGGGGAGCGAACGGG
rnacentral:rRNA from 1 species